rnacentral:rRNA from 1 species
UGGGGAAUAUUGGACAAUGGGCGCAAGCCUGAUCCAGCAAUGCCGCGUGGGUGAAGAAGGCCUGCGGGUUGUAAAGCCCUUUUAGUGGUGAAGAGCGUAGCGGGGUGAAUAAUUCCGUUACUAGACGUUAGCCACAGAAAAAGCACCGGCUAACUCCGUGCCAGCAGCCGCGGUAAUACGGAGGGUGCAAGCGUUAAUCGGAAUUACUGGGCGUAAAGCGCACGUAGGUGGUUCAGUCAGUCAGAUGUGAAAGCCCUGGGCUCAACCUGGGAAUGGCAUUUGAAACUGCUGAGCUAGAGUACGGUAGAGGGUAGUGGAAUUCCGGGUGUAGCGGUGAAAUGCGUAGAUAUCCGGAGGAACACCAGUGGCGAAGGCGGCUAUCUGGACCGAUACUGACACU